rnacentral:rRNA from 1 species
GUGGAUUAGAUACCCUGGUAGUCCACGCUGUAAACGAUGACGACUGGGUGUUGCGGGUAUUGACCCCCGCGGUGCCGAAGCCAACGCGUUAAGUCGUCCGCCUGGGAAGUACGGCCGCAAGGCUAAAACUCAAAGGAAUUGACGGGGGCCCGCACAAGCGGUGGAGCAUGUGGUUUAAUUCGACGCAACGCGAAGAACCUUACCCGGGCUCGAAAAUGCAGGGAGUCCCUUGAAAGGGGGAUGUGCUCGCAAGAGAACCUGUAUCAGGUGCUGCACGGCUGUCGCCAGCU